CCCACUUUAAACUCAACCAGUUAAACAAUACAAAUAUAUUAGCAAGAGCUAUGUUGUGAUAAAAAGGGAUAUUGUUAAAAUAUUGAGCAAGGGGAAAGCUGUGAAAGAGACCGAUAUAUAAAGAGAGAGAGAGAGAAUAGGUUAGAAGGAGAGACAGAAAAAGAAAAAGAGAACUAGAGAUUGAAAAUCGUGAAAUGAUUAGUAUGGCUUAGGUUAUAUGGCUAUACUAUAAACUACUCUGGAGGGACUCAUUGGGUUUGAAGAGAUACACAUUUAUAUACUGGCUUCUCAGCAUUUAUCAAUCUUUU